rnacentral:rRNA from 1 species
GCUUAGGCAUUUAGUGGCGGACGGGUGAGUAACGCGUGAGAAUUUGGCUUCAGGUCGGGGACAACAGUUGGAAACGACUGCUAAUACCGGAUAUGCCGGAAGGUGAAAGAUUUAUUGCCUGAAGAUAAGCUCGCGUCUGAUUAGCUAGUAGGAGGGGUAAAAGCCCACCUAGGCGACGAUCAGUAGCUGGUCUGAGAGGAUGAUCAGCCACACUGGGACUGAGACACGGCCCAGACUCCUACGGGAGGCAGCAGUGGGGAAUUUUCCGCAAUGGGCGAAAGCCUGACGGAGCAAUACCGCGUGAGGGAGGAAGGCUCUUGGGUCGUAAACCUCUUUUCUCAAGGAAGAAGAAAGUGACGGUACUUGAGGAAUAAGCAUCGGCUAACUCCGUGCCAGCAGCCGCGGUAAUACGGAGGAUGCAAGCGUUAUCCGGAAUGAUUGGGCGUAAAGGGUCUGUAGGUGGUACUGAAAGUCUGCUGUUAAAGAAUCACGCUCAACGUGAUCAAAGCAGUGGAAACUACAGAACUAGAGUGCGGUAGGGGCAAAAGGAAUUCCUGGUGUAGCGGUGAAAUGCGUAGAUAUCAGGAAGAACACCGGUGGCGAAAGCGUUUUGCUAGACCGCAACUGACACUGAGGGACGAAAGCUAGGGGAGCGAAUGGGAUUAGAUACCCCAGUAGUCCUAGCCGUAAACGAUGGAUACUAGGCGUGGCUUGUAUCGACCCGAGCCGUGCCGGAGCUAACGCGUUAAGUAUCCCGCCUGGGGAGUACGCACGCAAGUGUGAAACUCAAAGGAAUUGACGGGGGCCCGCACAAGCGGUGGAGUAUGUGGNUUUAAUUCGAUGCAACGCGAAGAACCUUACCAAGACUUGACAUCCUGCGAAUCCUGGUGAAAGCUGGGAGUGCCUUAGGGAGCGCAGAGACAGGUGGUGCAUGGCUGUCGUCAGCUCGUGUCGUGAGAUGUUGGGUUAAGUCCCGCAACGAGCGCAACCCUCGUUUUUAGUUGCCAGCAUUAAGAUGGGCACUCUAGAGAGACUGCCGGUGACAAACCGGAGGAAGGUGAGGAUGACGUCAAGUCAGCAUGCCCCUUACGUCUUGGGCUACACACGUACUACAAUGCUACGGACAAAGGGCAGCUACACAGCGAUGUGAUGCAAAUCUCAGAAACCGUAGCUCAGUUCAGAUCGAAGGCUGCAACUCGCCUUCGUGAAGGAGGAAUCGCUAGUAAUUGCAGGUCAGCAUACUGCAGUGAAUUCGUUCCCGGGCCUUGUACACACCACCCGUCACACCAUGGAAGUUGGUCACGCCCGAAGUCAUCACCCCAACCGAAAGGAGGGGGAUGCCUAAGGUAGGACUGGUGACUGGGGUGAAGUCGUAACAAGGUAGCCGUACCGGAAGGUGU